CCCUACGGGAGGCAGCAGUGGGGAAUAUUGCACAAUGGGGGAAACCCUGAUGCAGCGACGCCGCGUGGAGGAAGAAGGUCUUCGGAUUGUAAACUCCUGUCCUUGGGGACGAUAAUGACGGUACCCAAGGAGGAAGCACCGGCUAACUACGUGCCAGCAGCCGCGGUAAUACGUAGGGAGCGAGCGUUGUCCGGAAUUACUGGGCGUAAAGGGCGCGUAGGCGGGAACUUAAGUUAGAUGUGAAAACUCCGGGCUUAACCUGGAGACUGCAUUUAAAACUGGGUUUCUUGAGGGCAGGAGAGGAA
rnacentral:rRNA from 1 species